UGUGCUCUGCUAUGUUCCUUUAACUUAUCUGGCUCUAAAGCUAGUUCUUCUGGAGCUGGGACCUUUCGAGAGACGUAGCGGAGAGGCUGUGAGCCCAAGAGAUGAGAAUUCAGGCUUUGCACAAUGCUCUCCAACCCCCGAAGAUGAAGUGUUUGACAUUUAAGAGGAAUUUUUGUUGCCAUCUCCGGGCAUCAGAAGGGACUGAAGAUGGUGACAGUCCUCCAUUACAGGGAUCAUAAAUCAAAUUGCAGCAGAACACUCACAAGGGGGGUCCUGGAGAUUAUGUGACCUAAAAGCAGGAUUUUAUGUCAGCUGAUUCCCUUGUGAGAAAGGUCUAUUAUAGUGGGGGAGCAGGUAUCUGCUAGCCUGCUAAGAAUAAUAAUUUCUGCCCAUAAGCUGCAGAUGGGGAAAGUCAGUCAUACGAUGUUGAUGAACCUCUUUUAAAGCAGAUAAGUGUACUUCUACUUAGUUAGCAUAAUUAACACAGCUUUGCAUAGUGCGGAGCUAGUAAUUCCUUUCUGAACAGAUUAUAAGUCUUAAAUAAUUCUCCUGUAAGAUUAAUUCUUUCUUCCUCCUAGUA
rnacentral:lncRNA from 1 species